rnacentral:rRNA from 1 species
AGUGAACGCUGGCGGUAGGCCUAACACAUGCAAGUCGAACGGCAGCACAGUAAGAGCUUGCUCUUACGGGUGGCGAGUGGCGGACGGGUGAGGAAUACAUCGGAAUCUACUUUUUCGUGGGGGAUAACGUAGGGAAACUUACGCUAAUACCGCAUACGACCUACGGGUGAAAGAAGGGGAUCUUCGGACCUUGCGCGAUUGAAUGAGCCGAUGUCGGAUUAGCUAGUUGGCGGGGUAAAGGCCCACCAAGGCGACGAUCCGUAGCUGGUCUGAGAGGAUGAACAGCCACACUGGAGCUGAGACACGGUCCAGACUCCUACGGGAGGCAGCAGUGGGGAAUAUUGGACAAUGGGCGCAAGCCUGAUCCAGCCAUACCGCGUGGGUGAAGAAGGCCUUCGGGUUGUAAAGCCCUUUUGUUGGGAAAGAAAAGCAGCAGGUUAAUACCCCGCUGUUCUGACGGUACCCAAAGAAUAAGCACCGGCUAACUUCGUG